CAGUGAAGAUGAUGAUGAUAGCAGGCACCAUUUCUCCCUCUGAACCCUGACCUUUGGACACCCCUUGCCUGACAGCUUAAGAAUUGUAUGUACUAUAAUACAAUGAACCUCAGGGAUGGUGGUGGCUAGGAUUUAAGGGCUGACAGGGAUUGAGCAAUUCUUCCAUCCCUGACACUAGCCACCAAAGUGACAGUGACCCUCUCUUGCUCAAUAACUCAAUGACUCCCUGCUAUUCUCAGGACCUAACUAUGGAAGUGAGGCCUCUGUCAGCCUCUUGGUUUGCAUUCUUCCUACUUAACUAGUUAUUAUACUAGAGGCUCUAUACCAGUUAAUAGCAUUUAGCAGAUGAAAAUCAGUAUGCCAAGUUUCUUAUUGAAUUUUUUUCCUAUCAGUAAAGUGGGUAAUCUAAAUAGUUAUAUUCUGUUUUUGACAGGUGUUAAUAAAUCUAUUUUUAUUUCAAAU